rnacentral:rRNA from 1 species
UCCGUCUGCUCUGAGNGGAUGUNCUCUAGCCAGCACGUGGAACUGAGACACGGUCCAGACUCCGUACGGGAGGCAGCUACCUGGGCGAAUCUUGGUNGCAGAUGGGCGCAGCGCCUGAGUCCAGCCNUACCGUCGUGGGUAAGAAGGCCUUCGGGUUGUCAGCCCUUUUGUUGGGAACGNAUNUCCAGCCGGCUCUACCUGGUUGGGNUGACGGCUACCCANUGACUAAGCUCCGGCGUACCUUCGUGCCAGCUGCCGCGGUAUGUACGAUCGGGUGCUAUGCGUUCUCGUGCAUCUUACUGGGCGUUGACGCGUGCGUACGGUGGUUGUUUCAGUCUGUUGUGAGAGCCCUGGGCUCAACCUGNGAACUGCAGUGCNCACUGGAUCACUACGANGUGUGGUAGAGGGUAGCGGAAUUUCCCGGCUGUNUGCNGUGACAGUGUGCGUCGACGAUCGGCGAGGANACAUCCAUGGCGACGGCAGGCUACCGUGGACCCNACCUGACACUGAGGCCUAAUAGCGUGGGAGCAAACUGGNUUGAUUUCCCUGGUUGGUCCCCCGCCCUAAAACUGAUGCGAACUGGACUUUGGGGUGCAUUUUGGCCCGCAUGUUUCCCAAGCUAGCGCGUUCCGUUCGCCGUCUGGGGGGUCUGUCGCCA